rnacentral:rRNA from 1 species
AACGAGCGCUGGCGGCAUGCCUAACACAUGCAAGUCGAACGAGAUCCUUCGGGGUCUAGUGGCGCACGGGUGCGUAACGCGUGGGAAUCUGCCCUUAGGUUCGGAAUAACAGUUAGAAAUGACUGCUAAUACCGGAUGAUGACGUUAAGUCCAAAGAUUUAUCGCCUGAGGAUGAGCCCGCGUAGGAUUAGCUAGUUGGUGUGGUAAAGGCGCACCAAGGCGACGAUCCUUAGCUGGUCUGAGAGGAUGAUCAGCCACACUGGGACUGAGACACGGCCCAGACUCCUACGGGAGGCAGCAGUGGGGAAUAUUGGACAAUGGGCGCAAGCCUGAUCCAGCAAUGCCGCGUGAGUGAUGAAGGCCUUAGGGUUGUAAAGCUCUUUUACCCGGGAUGAUAAUGACAGUACCGGGAGAAUAAGCCCCGGCUAACUCCGUG